rnacentral:rRNA from 1 species
UACAGAGGGUGCAAGCGUUGUUCGGAAUUAUUGGGCGUAAAGCGCGUGUAGGCGGCUUUGCAAGUCGGGUGUGAAAGCCCUCGGCUCAACCGAGGAAGUGCGCCCGAAACUGCUUAGCUUGAGUAUCGGAGAGGAUGGCGGAAUUCCCCAAGUAGAGGUGAAAUUCGUAGAUAUGGGGAGGAACACCGGUGGCGAAGGCGGCCAUCUGGACGAUCACUGACGCUGAGACGCGAAAGCGUGGGGAGCAAACAGG